AGUUGUUGGCAGUGCUAACCAGAGGGAACCAUGGCUUUAGUGCUCGCUCAGCGGAUGCGGGGUCCCCGGGCAUGUCCUCAUGGGCUCUCAGCCCCAGGACAGGAGGAGCUGGGCAAACACACAGGAGACCAGCAGGCAGCAGGAGGGAGCCAGGCGUUUCCCUGGACGGCGGCCAUCGGGCUGUUGUUGGGAUCCAGUUUCAAGCUCCUUCGAGGAGAGCCGCAUGGGGUCAUCCCCUCCACGACGCCCCAGGAAGGAGACUGAUGAGCAGACAGUUGUUAACGCCGCGCCGCCGCCGCCACCGUGGUUUGCCUUGAAAACCCCUCCACUGCCAGCUGCUCAGCUCUGCCCAGCCUAGGCCUCCAGGGCCCCAGGCUCCGCUGCCUGAGGAAAACCUGGAUCCUUCAGGGAGGAGGGGCACCGCCGCCGCAUUCCAAGGAGACCUCACACCCUCCCUCGCCUGCUGCUGCUUCCUUCUUAUUCUUCGGCCCCUCUCCCCCAUCCCAACCCACCACCCCCCCAGGGCUUUUCUAGCCCUCUGCUCCUCACAUCCUCCUGCCCCCAGGGAAGAGGCUGAAAGCUGUGGUAGGAUGAGCACGAGGCCUGGCUGUGCAGCCCGGGACAGCCAAGAAACUUCUCUGAGCCUCUGUUUCCUCAUCUUUAAAAUGGGAGUGACGAAUGUCCACACCCUAAUUACUGGCCUUGGAAGGAUAUCAAUGAUGCAUUGCUGAGCGAAAGCAGCAGGAUGUAAUUCAGAAGGCAUUGGAGAUGCUCUGGAAAGAUAGCCAAUAAAUUGCAGUCAGAGGCUACCUGCAGAGUCUGGGGGUGGUGAGAGAGGGACAGAGGAGUAAUGGGUGUGUGGUGGGGAGAGAAUUUUCACUUUUUACUUAAUAUACCUUGAAUUUUGUUUCAGCAAGUAUGUACCCCUUUUGUGAUAAGAAAAAAAAUGAAGACAUUAUUUUUCAGAGUUGUUCCCAGC
rnacentral:lncRNA from 1 species